UUAACCCUUCCAUUGAGAAGUGAAAUAAGGAACAUGUUGGUAUUCGUUAUGUAUCCGUACAUGUUGUACUUUAGUCGGAUGGCGGUGCACCGCGGCUGUCACAGUUAUUGUUGUUAUACUUUUGCUGAUAGUCCUACGUUGAAAAUUAUGAUCAUGUAGUAAUUAACGGAAUAAUGCAAAGUUGUUUAUUUCAACGGUUAUGAAAUUAUGUUGCACAAAAAUUGACGUCAGAAGAAUAAUUAUGUUGGAGGCCAAAGCACUUUGCAGUAACGUAUCUAGUGGUAUUGAAAUUGGGGAGGGGGAGGGGGCACGAUGUUGAAGUGCGAGAACUAGAUGAUAAAGUGAGGAGGAGCUAGCUGGCAAAAUAAUGGUAUAUGAGAUGACUUCAACGUAAUUUUGUUUGCUUCAGUCUUCAGUGGGCAAUGUGAUCAGGGGGAAGUUUUUUUCUGAACGGCAUGCGCCUCCAGCACACCCCUGUUACGCCACGGGUUACUUGUUUUUAGAUCAACUUAUGUAGAAUUGUACGAGGUAUCGAGAUGGACAGACACUGGAUGUAUUAUGCUUAAUAUAAUCUCUAUGAAAAAAAAGAGCAUCCGGUUACAGAUUGAGAUAUAUCCACAUCUUAGCAAAACAUUGCUUGGACAAAUUCCCUUACCAUGGUGACUGUGAGAGUAUGAGCAGCAAACUGAUGGAAAUUGAUUGGGAUACUAAUUUUAAUUAUCCUGACUUAAAGCAAGCUUGACUUCUUGAAACAGAGAAGUAAAAUACCUAUAGACGUAACACGGACAGUAAGGGGAGCUAAAUAAAUUGGAAAUAGCAACAAUUAGGAAUACAAUGGUGUAACAAUAGCCACUGUCUCGAAGAUUAAUUAGUUGAUUAAUGUUUUGGGAUUACGUAUAAGUUUCAGUUUAAAAAUAAAUUUAUUGUUUAAAUUAAACAAUGAAUAAAAUAAAGUUAAGAUGUACAUAAUUUUAGCAAUUUGGUAUUACUUGAUAGAAGGUAACUUUACUGAAAAAUGUUGUUCUUGAUCGGUGCCAAAGGGAAUUCACCUUUGACCUUGCCGGUCACCUCUUCACAACCGCAAGACUUAUUGCGUCAAGAAACAUAUGUAAUGUGUAACUUAAUUCUAUAGUUCAGAUUUAUGAUAAAAUGAUAUCAGGUAAUUAUUUCUCAAACGUUCACACAUUUGUGUGCCUGUUUUCUAUUAAUUUGAAUCCUAAUAACUUUCUGGAACUUGCCUUUUCAAGAUGUGUGCGUACGCACUACUGAGGCAUUGCAUUUUUAAAAAUAAGAACACAGUUUAUACGAACACUGAGGCUAAAAUUGCUUAAAAAUUAUGAACAAAAUAAGAACAAAUCGAGGUUGUUGUAAAAUGUCAAAUGAGGUUUUUAUUUGUAAAACUAGAAAACCAACAAAUCUUAUCUGUACCUUAUAUGCAGUAGGCGUGACUAUACCCUCGAUGAUUUAAAUAAUUAAUUUUAUUUGUUUAUUCAGGUCUAAAAACACUUACAUUACAUUAUCAAUAUACACGCCUAUAGAAUAAAAAAUAAAACAGUGCGG
rnacentral:lncRNA from 1 species